UACGUAGGAUGCAAGCGUUGUCCGGAAUUAUUGGGCGUAAAGAGCGCGCAGGCGGUAUGACAAGUCAGAUGUGAAAGAGGCCGGCUUAACCGGCAAGGGUCAUUUGAAACUGUCAGACUAGAGUGCAGCAGAGGAUAGUGGAAUUCCCGGUGUAGUGGUGAAAUGCGUAGAGAUGUGGAGGAACACCAGUGGCGAAGGCGGCUCUCUGGACUGUAACUGACGCUGAGGCGCGAAAGCGUGGGGAGCAAACAGG
rnacentral:rRNA from 1 species